rnacentral:rRNA from 1 species
UUCUUUAGGCAAAUCCGGGAACACAAUCCUGUAGUACGCGAUGUACGAGCCCCUUUUAGGGGCGUAAGUGACUGAUGCCAUACUUCCAGGAAAAGCCUCUAAGCUUCAGGUAACAAGCGACCGUACCGUAAACCGACACAGGUAGGUGAGGAGAGAAUCCUAAGGCGCUUGAGAGAACUCGGGUGAAGGAACUAGGCAAAUUGGUACCGUAACUUCGGGAGAAGGUACGCCCUUGUUGGUGAUGGACUUCGCGUCCUGAGCUGAUGGGGGCCUCAGAAACCAGGUGGCUGCGACUGUUUACUAAAAACACAGCACUCUGCUAACUCGCAAGAGGAUGUAUAGGGUGUGACGCCUGCCCGGUGCCGGAAGGUUAAUUGAUGGGGUUAGCUUCGGCGAAGCUCUUGAUCGAAGCCCCGGUAAACGGCGGCCGUAACUAUAACGGUCCUAAGGUAGCGAAAUUCCUUGUCGGGUAAGUUCCGACCUGCACGAAUGGCGUAACGAUGGCCACACUGUCUCCACCCGAGACUCAGUGAAAUUGAAAUCGCUGUGAAGAUGCAGUGUACCCGCGGCUAGACGGAAAGACCCCGUGAACCUUUACUACAGCUUUACACUGAAUUUUGAACCUGUUUGUGUAGGAUAGGUGGGAGGCUUUGAAGCGGUCACGCCAGUGAUCGUGGAGCCAACCUUGAAAUACCACCCUGGCAUGUUUGAAGUUCUAACCCAGGCCCGUUAUCCGGGUCGGGGACAGUGUAUGGUGGGUAGUUUGACUGGGGCGGUCUCCUCCCAAAGAGUAACGGAGGAGCACAAAGGUACCCUCAGCGCGGUCGGACAUCGCGCAUUGAGUGCAAAGGCACAAGGGUGCUUGACUGCGAGACAUACACGUCGAGCAGGGACGAAAGUCGGUCUUAGUGAUCCGGUGGUUCUGUAUGGAAGGGCCAUCGCUCAACGGAUAAAAGGUACUCCGGGGAUAACAGGCUGAUUCCUCCCAAGAGUCCACAUCGACGGAGGAGUUUGGCACCUCGAUGUCGGCUCAUCACAUCCUGGGGCUGUAGCAGGUCCCAAGGGUAUGGCUGUUCGCCAUUUAAAGUGGUACGCGAGCUGGGUUUAGAACGUCGUGAGACAGUUAGACAUUAAAUGAGCUGUCUAUAAAUUUGGCUAUAUGCUGGAAAACCUGAUUAGUAUCCCACGCUACUCACAUGUGUUUUGCCUUCAGAGG